rnacentral:misc_RNA from 1 species
UGACUGCUGGCGCCUGUGUCCCUUCAAUUUUUUGCUAUUGUUCCUGACUCCUUUAUUAAUGCCUUCCUGUUGCUACCAGUCCUACCGGAAGUUUCCUUUGACACAUGUUACCUUUCUCCGCUCCGCCCUUGGGCGCUGCACGUCGACAUGAAAGCAUUCACAGCGUUGCCUCGUGUAACUAGCCCCCUAGGCCACUCUCACCAAGGACACCUUGUGCAUUCUAGUGUUCUUGUAUGCCUCAUACUAAAAAGGUAAAGGGCUCUUCCGCCCCACGCCCCUACCAAAGAUUGUCCAGUCGAAAAAAAACGACAGCAGGCCUAGCCCAUUCAUUGUGUAGAGGCUUGAGCUUGCUAGUCGAUGAGGACGUGCUACCUGGUUGAUCCUGCCAAUAG